rnacentral:tRNA from 1 species
GGGGUUGUAGCUCAGUGGUAGAGCGCUUGCCUCGCAUGCAUGAGGCACUGGGUUCAAUUCUCAGCACCACA